rnacentral:rRNA from 1 species
CCCUUAGAUGUUCUGGGCCGCACGCGUGCUACACUGAGUGGAUCAGCGGGUCAGGUUACGCGAGAGCGUUUCCUAAUCUUCAAAUCCGCUCGUGAUGGGGAUUGACGGUUGCAAUUUUCCGUCAUGAACGAGGAAUACCUUGUAAGCGCGGGUCAUCAUCCCGCGCUGAAUACGUCCCUGCCCUUUGUACGCACCGCCCGUCGCUCCUACCGAUUGAGUGGUCCGGUGAGGCUUUGGGAUCUAAGCGAAAAGAGCGUUUCGCUCCUUUUGCUGGGAGAACUCAGUCGAACCUUAUCAUUUAGAGGAAGGAGAAGUCGUAACA